rnacentral:rRNA from 1 species
UGGGGAAUAUUGGGCAAUGGGGGAAACCCUGACCCAGCAACGCCGCGUGAGGGAAGAAGGUCCUCGGAUUGUAAACCUCUGUUCCUGGAGAAGAGAAGAAGACGGUAUCCAGGGAGGAAGCCCCGGCUAACUACGUGCCAGCAGCCGCGGUAAUACGUAGGGGGCAAGCGUUGUCCGGAAUAAUUGGGCGUAAAGGGCGCGUAGGCGGCAAGGCAAGUCAGCAGUGGAAGUCCCAUUUUCAAGGUGGGGAGGGCUGUUGAAACUGCGUUGCUUGAGUGCAGGAGAGGUUAUCGGAAUUCCCGGUGUAGCGGUGAAAUGCGUAGAGAUCGGGAGGAACACCAGUGGCGAAGGCGGGUAACUGGACUGCAACUGACGCUGAGGCGCGAAAGUGUGGGGAGCAAACAGG